rnacentral:misc_RNA from 1 species
AAGUCGUAACAAGGUCUCCGUUGGUGAACCUGCGGUUGGAUCAUUAGUGGUUUUUACGUAGCGCUGUUGUAGUGUUUCUGGGGGGUGUUUGUGGUUGGUCUUUGAGUUUGGUGUUGGUUGUUUGUCUGUUUUUGUGCGAUGUCUUGUGCCUUGCCUUGUGCGGUGCCUUGUGCGGUGCCUGGCAGUACAAACGAUCGACGGCAACACUCGGACCAGACCCAAGCCCUUGCAGACAAUAGACGUCUUUGCUUGCUUUGAUGAAACCAAAUCAAAAACAACUUUUGACAACGGAUCUCUUGGCUCUC